CGGCUUUCCCGCGUGUCGACACCUUCUGCCGAACCUCCGCCUCCCCUGCUGCUGCGCCGCAGGCUUCCUCCUCUUCAGGCGGCAGUCAGCCCGUGCGCCCGCCGGCUCCGUAAUGGCAACCCGCAGCCCAGCGUCGUGAUCAGUGAUGACGAACCAGGUUAUGACCUAGAUUUAUUCUGUAUACCUCAUCAUCAUGCUGAGGAUUUGGAAAAGGUGUUUAUUCCUCAUGGACUAAUUAUGGACAGAACCGAGCGGCUUGCUCGAGAUGUGAUGAAGGAGAUGGGAGGCCAUGACAUAGUAGCCCUCUGUGUGCUCAAGGGAGGCUAUAAAUUCUUUGCUGACCUGCUGGAUUAUAUCAAAGCACUGAACAGAAAUAGUGAUGGAUCCAUUCCCAUGACUGUAGAUUUCAUCAGACUGAAGAGCUACUGUAAUGACCAGUCAACAGGGGACAUCAAAGUAAUUGGUGGAGAUGAUCUCUCAGCUUUGACUGGAAAGAAUGUCUUGAUUGUUGAGGAUAUAACUGAUACUGGCAAAACAAUGCAAACCUUGCUUUCCUUGGUCAAGGAGCAUAAUCCAAAGAUGGUCAAGGUCACAAGUUUGCUGGUGAAGAGGACUUCUCGAAGUGUUGGUUAUAAACCAGACUUUGUUGGAUUUGAAAUUCCAGACAAGUUUGUUGUAGGAUAUGCCCUUGACUAUAAUGAAUACUUCAGGGAUUUGAAUCAUGUUUGUGUCAUUAGUGAAACUGGAAAAGCAAAAUACAAAGCCUAAGAUGAGAGUUCAAGUUGAGUUUGGAAGCAUCUGGAGUCCCAUUGAAAUCAUCAGUAGAACGUUCUAGUUCUGUGGCCAGCUGCUUAGUAGAGCUUUAUUGCAUGUAUCCUCUCAGAAUUUUAUCCAUUUUGUAUUUUAGAAAUGCCCGUUGCUGCAUUCCUGAAGUCUUUAUUUGCAAUAUGAGCCUAUAGACUAUC